UCUUUUGCACUUUUUCCCCAAAUUAAAACAGUUUGUAGAUGUUUCUACUUCGAAGACCGGUAAACAUGGACAUGCAAAGUGCCACUUUGUGGGCAUUGAUAUCUUACUGGGAAGAAACUUUAAGAUAUUGUUCCUUCAUCCAACAUUUGUGAUGUUCCCCAUGUUAAUCGUACUGACUAUCAGCUGAUCGAUAUAUCUGAAGAUGGUUUUAUUAAAGAUGGAUUUGCUGAAGGAAAGGACCUUGUGGUGACGGUCAUGUCUGCAAUGGGAGAGGAGCAGAUUUGUGCUCUUAAGGACAUUGGUCCUAAAAAUUGAAUAUAAGCAUUUGUACAAGAAACCCUUAUUCAGAUGGUAUUAUAACAUUGCAAUCUUUAGGUUUGUAGAUAGCUGCUGAUCCCUGGAUGAAGGGAACUUGUAUCAACAGCAGGAUGGGACUUAUAUAUAGUCUUAUUUCUAUGUCCUAUUCAUUAAUGAUUGGUUGGGUUUGAGCAUCAAUUUAAGAUCUUUGAGAUAUAUCAUGUUUCCUUAAAGUUAAGAUCGUUGAGAUAUAUCAUGUUUCGUUAAACAUGAUAAAAAUGUUUCUUUUUUCCAAUCGCAACUCAGUGUUACAAUGGGGAUUGUUCUUAAAGUCAAUUUUUUGUUUAUUGCUGGAAUUUCUGUUGGUAUUUAUAGACCCUCUCUGUAGUGAUGCUCACGCCAUAUCUUAGAGGAAGGUUGGAUUUAUCAUAGCAAUCCUGAUUCGUGAUAUCUUGAGCCCUGGACCCUUGAA